GAGGUUAUAGCUCAGUGGUAAUGUGCAUGCCUAGCAUGCAUGAGGUCCCGGGUUCAAUCCCCAGUACAUCCA
rnacentral:tRNA from 1 species